AGUAACAUCCGGAAACGGGUGGCUAUACCGCAUAGUUUUCUUUGAUCGCAUGAUUGAGAAAGGAAAAGACGGCCUUUGUUGCUGUCGCUUAUGGAUGGACCCGCGGCGUAUUAGUUAGUUGGUGAGGUAACGGCUCACCAAGACGAUGAUACGUAGCCGACCUGAGAGGGUGAUCGGCCACAUUGGGACUGAGACACGGCCCAAACUCCUACGGGAGGCAGCAGGUAGGGAAUCUUCCGCAAUGGACGAAGUCUGACGGAGCAACGCCGCGUGAGUGAAGAAGGGUUUUUUCCGGAUCGUAAAACUCUGUUGUCAGAGAAGAACAAGUUGGAGAGUAACUGCUCCAGCCUUGACGGUAUCUGACCAGAAAGCCACGGCUAACUACGUGCCAGCCGCAGC
rnacentral:rRNA from 1 species